UCUGACAGCGAUAGACCCAGUCUCCCCCGCCUGUCCUGCCAGGGUGUCAGGAGGCCGGGCCUUUGCCGGUUGGUGUUGGGGUCUGCUUCUUAGACGCUGGAGCGGCUCUUGAGUGGACAGGUUCUGCGAGUGUCCUGGUGCCCAGUUCCAGCUGCCUCCCUGGCCCCAGCACGAGGCCCAGUCAACUUUUUAUUGUCACUUGACACAGAGGGUAUGAAUGGAUCAAAGUGGAGUAGUCAGCAGGCCCACACGGCUUGAAAGGAGGCUCUGUUCACAGGGAGCUAAAAAGAAUCUUGAGGACAUAUCAGGUUCCUAGAGAUCCCACAUCUUUAGCCACGUACAUAUGCUCCCAAAAGUUCCUUCAUGUUCACUUCAUCUCUUCCCUUUGUUUCGUUUCUUUUGGCCACGCUGGGCGGCAUGCGGGAUCUUAGUUCCCUGAUCAGGGAUCAAACCUGUGCCCCCUGCACUGGGAGCGUGGAGUCUUAACCACUGGAUCCCCAGGGAAUUCCCCAUCCAUUCCUUUUGAAUGACCAGACAAGCAAGUGCCCAAAUGAUGCUAAAGGUAUGCUUCAGGCCUGCCUGGUAUACCCACCUUGGCCUCAGCUCCACUGAUUUUAUCAGACUCAUGCUGCUUACCACUAGGGCCAGGACCUUACAUUUUUCAGUUUUUUUUCCACUUGCCUUUAUAAAUCCAUAAAGGCAAAACGCAAGACGAUAUGAAAAUAACUGCAUAGGUGCCCUGUGCCCCAGAGGGUCACUGGAACAGAACUGUUGGCUAGAGUCACAGGGCACCAGUCAGGGGACCAGCAUCUUCAAGGAGCACCUACUGUGUGCCAGGUAUUGUGCUGGGUGCUUGGCACAAAUAGGUGUAUGCAGUCCUUACAACAACUUUAUGAGGCAGGUAUUCUUAUUGUACCCAUUUCACAGAGGAGCAAAGCAAGGCUCACAGAUACUGUGACCUGCCCACGUCAGCCAGCAACCAGCCAGUACCUGGUACAGUAGGGAGCUAGACUGGCGUGUGCGCCUCUAGGGUUUGCUCUUGUCACCUUUCUCCUACAAGGAAACCGCCUAUGCCCAAUGGUCCAUGUGCCUAAAAUUCAAAAUCUCUUUUAAUUGUUUUUGGGUAUAUUUAUUUGCAACCAUUGGAAUAUCCUAAUAUUAAAAACUGAAUUUAAAAUAAAGCACAUUCAACUGGAAUGUUUUUCUGAAUAACAGAAACUGUAUCUACUUUUUUUUUGGCCGCGGCUUGCGGGAUCCUACUUCCCCGACCAGGGAUUGAACCUGUGCCCUCGGCUGUGAAAGCGCAGAGUCCUAACCACUGGACCACCAGGGAAUUCUGUGGGAACUGUAUCUGGGGCUUCCCUGGUGGCGCAGUGGUUGAGAAUCUGCCUGCUAAUGCAGGGGACACGGGUUCGAGCCCUGGUCUGGGAAGAUCCCACAUGCCACGGAGCAGCUGGGCCCGUGAGCCACAAUUGCUGAGCCUGCGCGUCUGGAGCCUGUGCCCCGCGACGGGAGGGGCCGCGAUAGAGAAAGGCCCGCGCACCGCGAUGAAGAGCGGUCCCCGCACCGCGAUGAAGAGUGGCCCCCGCUUGCCGCAACUGGAGAAAGCCCUCGCACGAACCGAAGACCCAACACAGCCAAAAAUAAAUAAAUAAAUAAAUAAAAUCAAGUAAAAAAAAAAAAAAAAAAUCCUUGAAAUAUUAGGAAAUGGUGGGAAAAAAUGGAUCCCUGGAUGGAAGUGAUUUUUGGCUGCCUGAGGGUCCUUCUACCCACCCAGGGCUGGGAAUCUCCUCCCCUUCCUGAGGUCUGUCCAAUCUUCUGAUCUCCCCAUGCCAGGGCCAGCCCCUGGAGGGGGUAUAUCCCCAUGCACUUCUGUUAA